UGAACUUUUUCUCUGGAAUGUACAAUUUUAUCCUUGAAUGCGCCCGUGUAAAAUGUUCAGCUCUGUCACGUGAUUGUGCUGAAAAUUUUCGAUCUUCAUUUAUUUUGAUUAGGACUAGUAAUUUGUUUUAUUGGGAUUGUUCUUUUUCUUAUAUAUCAUUGAAUUUUUUUUAUGUGGGACCUUACUACUUCUCAUGGUCAUAUGAUUCAUUGCGCACAUGCAUUGCACAUGUUUAUGAAUUAUAUUUUUCAUACAGCAUUGGUAGUUUUUCUUUCAUAAUAGUUUCUGGAAAGCAUCCCAAGUUUGUUUAGCCGAAUUUGUAGCCACCUCAACACUUAUUCACUGCCUACCUCAUUUUAUUGUUUAGUAUUAGCCCAAACUCUAUAUAAUUAAUUAGUAUAAAACAAUGAUGUUUAUUCGAUUUAAGGGAAUCAAUGCAGAGCUUGAAUGAAAAUGGAAAAACUGGUAUAAAAAGUUAAGGAAAUGGUUAUAGUAUUAAAAAAAAAAAAUAAAAAAAAAAUAAAUAAAAACAGAAAAGGCAAACAUGCCUUAAUAAAUUUUCUUCUCUUGUAGCCCAUUGAUAUUUAGUGUUGAUUAAGAUUAUUUAUUUUCUUUUUACAAAAAUUUAGAUGAUUUAUUUAUUUUUGAAAGAUGCAGUAGUCCUGAGAUAAAACAUGAUCUAUUUACUUUUUUUUCUCUCUUUACAUUGUCUUUUGGAGGUCAAAGUCUAUUUUUAUUUAUUUUUUCAAAAUUGUUUUUGAGUCAAAUUAUCUAUGAACAAGAAUAGUUGAGGACCUUUUUUGUGGUAUGCAACAUUAGUCCUUUGUAGUUUGCCCCCCCCCCA